rnacentral:rRNA from 1 species
CCUACGGGGAGCAGCAGUAGGGGAUAUUGCACAAUGGGGGAAACCCUGAAGCAGCAACGCCGCGUGGAGGAUGAAGGUUUUCGGAUUGUAAACUCCUUUUGUUAGAGAAGAAAAUGACGGUACCUAACGAAUAAGCACCGGCUAACUCCGUGCCAGCAGCCGCGGUAAUACGGAGGGGGAAAGCGUUACUCGGAAUCACUGGGCGUAAAGAGGGCGUAGGCGGGAUAGCAAGUCAGAUGUGAAAUCCUAUGGCUUAACCAUAGAACUGCAUUUGAAACUGUUAGUCUAGAGUAUGGGAGAGGUAGGUGGAAUUCUUGGUGUAGGGGUGAAAUCCGUAGAGAUCAAGAGGAAUACUCAUUGCGAAGGCGACCUGCUAGAACAUAACUGACGCUGAUGCGCGAAAGCGUGGGGAGCAAACAGGAUUAGAUACCCUUGUAGUC